rnacentral:rRNA from 1 species
UACGGAGGGUGCAAGCGUUGUCCGGAAUCAUUGGGCGUAAAGCGUUCGUAGGCGGCAUGACAAGUCUGGUGUUAAAUUCCGGGGCUCAACCUCGGUUCGGCACUGGAUACUGUUGAGCUAGAAUGUGGUAGAGGUGAAGGGAAUUCCUGGUGUAGCGGUGAAAUGCGUAGAUAUCAGGAGGAACACCGGUGGCGUAAGCGCUUCGCUGGGCCAUUAUUGACGCUGAGGAACGAAAGCCGGGGGAGCGAAUGGG